GCGUCGUGCUGGUUGGUGACGGUGACCAGCUCGUCGACGAAGCCGACGUCGGUGCGGCUGCGGUGGUCGCGCAGCGCGGUGAUCCGCGCCUCGACGUG
rnacentral:tRNA from 1 species